rnacentral:rRNA from 1 species
AGUGAACGCUGGCGGUAGGCCUAACACAUGCAAGUCGAACGGCAGCACAGUAAGAGCUUGCUCUUACGGGUGGCGAGUGGCGGACGGGUGAGGAAUACAUCGGAAUCUACUUUUUCGUGGGGGAUAACGCAGGGAAACUUACGCUAAUACCGCAUACGACCUACGGGUGAAAGCAGGGGAUCUUCGGACCUUGCGCGAUUGAAUGAGCCGAUGUCGGAUUAGCUAGUUGGCGGGGUAAAGGCCCACCAAGGCGACGAUCCGUAGCGGGUCUGAGAGGAUGAUCAGCCACACUGGAACUGAGACACGGUCCAGACUCCUACGGGAGGCAGCAGUGGGGAAUAUUGGACAAUGGGCGCAAGCCUGAUCCAGCCAUACCGCGUGGGUGAAGAAGGCCUUCGGGUUGUAAAGCCCUUUUGUUGGGAAAGAAAAGCAGCAGGUUAAUACCCCGCUGUUCUGACGGUACCCAAAGAAUAAGCACCGGCUAACUUCGUG